AAUGAACGUUGGCGGCGUGGAUUAGGCAUGCAAGUCGAGCGUGAUAGGUUUGGUGCUUGCAUUAAACCUUGAAAGCGGCGAAAGGGACAGUAACGCGUAGAUACCUACCUCCAGGUCCGGGAUAGCGGCGGGAAACUGCCGGUAAUACCGGAUAAUGUCUUCGGACCAAAGGUGUGAUUCCGCUUGGAGACGGAUCUGCGUCCUAUUAGCUAGUUGGUGGGGUAAUGGCCCACCAAGGCGAUGAUGGGUAGCGGGCGUGAGAGCGUGGCCGGCGUCACUGGGACUGAGACACUGCCCAGACACCUACGGGUGGCUGCAGUCGAGAAUCUUCGGCAAUGGGCGCAAGCCUGACCGAGCGACGCCGCGUGCGGGAUGAAGGCCUUCGGGUUGUAAACCGCUGUCGGAGAGGCGGAAAUCUCUAGGGGUUCUCCCCUAGAGUUGACCUAAUCUCGGAGGAAGUCCGGGCUAAGUUCGUGCCAGCAGCCGCCGUAAGAC
rnacentral:rRNA from 1 species